CCCUGAGUACAGUGGCGCACGGGUGAGUAACACGUGAAUCAUCUACCUCCGAGUGGGGAAUAACCUAGGGAAACCUGGGCUAAUACCGCAUAACACUUACGAGUCAAAGCAGCAAUGCGCUUGGAGAGGAGUUCGCGGCAGAUUAGUUAGUUGGCGGGGUAAUGGCCCACCAAGACGAUGAUCUGUAUCCGGCCUGAGAGGGCGCACGGACACACUGGAACUGAAACACGGUCCAGACUCCUACGGGAGGCAGCAGUGGGGAAUUUUGCGCAAUGGGGGAAACCCUGACGCAGCAACGCCGCGUGGAGGAUGAAAUCCCUUGGGAUGUAAACUCCUUUCGAUCGGGACGAUUAUGACGGUACCGGAAGAAGAAGCCCCGGCUAACUUCGUGCCAGCAGCCGCGGUAAUACGAGGGGGGCGAGCGUUGUUCGGAAUUAUUGGGCGUAAAGGGUGCGUAGGCGGUUUGAUAAGUCUGAUGUGAAAUCUAUGGGCUCAACCCAUAGCCUGCAUUAGAAACUGUCGGGCUUGAGUAUGGGAGAGGUGAGUGGAAUUUCCGGUGUAGCGGUGAAAUGCGUAGAUAUCGGAAGGAACACCUGUGGCGAAAGCGGCUCACUGGACCAUUACUGACGCUGAUGCACGAAAGCUAGGGGAGCAAACAGGAUUAGAUACCCUGGUAGUCCUAGCACUAAACGAUGAUUGCUUGAUGUGGAGGGUACCCAAUUCCUUCCCGUGUCGAAGCUAACUC
rnacentral:rRNA from 1 species